CCUACGGGAGGCAGCAGUGGGGAAUAUUGCGCAAUGGGCGAAAGCCUGACGCAGCGACGCCGCGUGAGGGAUGAAGGUCUUCGGAUCGUAAACCUCUGUCAGCAGGGAAGAACGGUCACUGUGCUAAUCAGCAGUGAAUUGACGGUACCUGCAAAGGAAGCACCGGCUAACUCCGUGCCAGCAGCCGCGGUAAUACGGAGGGUGCGAGCGUUAAUCGGAAUUACUGGGCGUAAAGCGCUCGUAGGCGGUAUGUCAAGUCAAGGGUGAAAUCCCCGGGCUCAACGUGGGAACUGCCUUUGAAACUGGCAAACUGGAGUGUGUGAGAGGAUAGUGGAAUUCCAGGUGUAGGGGUGAAAUGCGUAGAUAUCUGGAGGAACAUCAGUGGCGAAGGCGACUAUCUGGCACAUAACUGACGCUGAGGAGCGAAAGCGUGGGUAGCAAACAGGAUUAGAUACCCGUGUAGUC
rnacentral:rRNA from 1 species